rnacentral:rRNA from 1 species
UGGGGAAUAUUGGGCAAUGGAGGCAACUCUGACCCAGCCAUGCCGCGUGGGUGACGAAGGUCUUCGGAUUGUAAAGCCCUUUCGGCGGAGACGAUGAUGACGGUACCCGCAGAAGAAGCCCCGGCUAACUUCGUGCCAGCAGCCGCGGUAAUACGAAGGGGGCUAGCGUUGUUCGGAAUUACUGGGCGUAAAGGGCGUGUAGGCGGUCCGCUAAGUCAGGUGUGAAAGGCCUGGGCUCAACCCAGGAAAUGCGCCUGAGACUGACGGACUUGAGUCCGGGAGAGGAUGGUGGAACUCCCAGUGUAGAGGUGAAAUUCGUAGAUAUUGGGAAGAACACCCGUGGCGAAGGCGGCCAUCUGGACCGGUACUGACGCUAAGGCGCGACAGCGUGGGGAGCAAACAGGAUUAGAUACCCUAGUAGUCCCUGAGCGGGCUGGCAAGGCGCAU